rnacentral:misc_RNA from 1 species
AAUUAUCAAACAUUGUUAGCUUUUUGCUGAUAAUGGAUUGGACUUGGGGGUCUUUUGCUGGCUUAUAAGAGUCAGCUCCCCUUAAAUGUAUUAGCUUGUUCCCCGCGUGGACUUGUCUAUUGGUGUGAUAAUUAUCUACACCGUGGAUGUCUGCUUUAAAAGGGUUGAGCUGCUUCUAAUCGUCUGUUGACUCGGACAAUACAAAUGACA